rnacentral:misc_RNA from 1 species
UACAAAGAAUGCAAGCGUUGUCCGGAAUCAUUGGGUGUAAAAGGUGUGCAGGCGGAAGUCUAAGUCAGAGGUGAAAUCUUGCCGCUUAACGGUAAAAGGGCCUUCGAAACUGGAUUUCUUGAGUUCGGAAGAGGUUGGUGGAAUUCGUGGUGUAGCGGUGAAAUGCGUAGAUAUCACGAAGAACACCGGUGGCGAAGGCGGCCAACUGGUCCGAUACUGACGCUGAGACACGAGAGCGUGGGGAGCGAACAGG